ACAAAAAAACAUAUACAUGUAGGUUUUGUGCAAGAAGAAAAAGGAGAAAAGGAGAUAUAGAAAGGCCAUGCGAACAACUGCGGCGUAAUCCUGGGGAAGAUCCGAAGAAAAGAAAAGAGGGCGAUUUGAAACAUCGGUUGGGUGAAUCGUAUUGGUUGGUAAUUUUAGCAGGUAAUACGAUAUGGGACUGAGCAAGAGAGAAAGGAAAAGCAGCUCUAAUUCAACAUCGCCUUGUGCCCAUCUCCGAGCUGCUUACCACAAUUGCUUUAACAGGUGGUACUCCGAGAAAUUUGUAAAGGGUCAGUGGAAUAAAGAGGAAUGUCUUUCCGAAUGGCAAAAAUACAGAUCUUGCCUCUCUGAACAUUUGGAUGACAAGCAUCUAAGUCGCUUCUUGCAAGCUGAAGGUGCUCUUGGUUCCAUUUUUCAAGAGGACAGUGGAAACCCAGUUGAGAAUACUGCUAAAUAGUGUCAAGAAAGGUGGAGCAUGACUCCAUGCUACACUGUAUUGUUCUGAUUUUGCUGGAGUUCGAUUCUACAUUUCAUGGACCAGCCCUUGAUUUCUUUCCCUCAAAAAAAGGUGUCAUUUAAAUAAGACAAAACAGUCUCCCGGCAAUGGACAGAAGUGAUUUGUUAAAGCUGGUUGCAAGUAACAACCAUCCUCUGUUGCAGACAUUAAUGAUACUGUUACUCGCAUAGAACUCGCAAUUCUCUGUUUAAAUUUUGCUGAGGAGUAGUCUAGUUCUAUCAUUCUAUAAUUUGUACUCUAGAUUGGAUUUUGGCUGGUAGGGACUCGACGCAGAAAGUGAAAAAUGAAGCCCACAGUUGAAAUACUAGUCAAGGUAUUUUAAAUUGUUGGUUCUGAUGUAGAAAAACUCAUUGGCGUUCAUCAACAAGGAAUUCAUUUGAUGUUUUUCACUGACCA